rfam:Schistosoma curassoni strain Dakar, Senegal genome assembly, scaffold: SCTD_scaffold0004050
AUUCACGAGUCCAAAAUAGGACAAAACGCGCGUCUUGGAU